GGGAAGGUGGCUCAGUGGUAGAGCACUUGCCUUGCAUGCUCGAGGCCCUGGGUUCGAUUCCUCACCCCCA
rfam:Dipodomys ordii contig_25914, whole genome shotgun sequence.